AUGCAGUCGAACGAAAUAUUUAGCACUUGUGUUAAAUAAUUUAGUGGCGAACGGGUGAGUAACACGUAAGAACUUACCCCUAGACGAGGUACAACAGUUGGAAACGACUGCUAAUACCUCAUAUUACCGGAAGGUGAAAGAAGCAAUUCGUCUAGGGCGAGGCUUGCGUCUGAUUAGCUUGUUGGUGAGGUAAAGGCUUACCAAGGCGACGAUCAGUAGUUGGUCUUAGAGGAUGAUCAGCCACAUUGGGACUGAGACACGGCCCAAACUUUUACGGGAGGCAGCAGUAAGGAAUUUUCCGCAAUGGGCGCAAGCCUGACGGAGCAAUACCGCGUGAAGGAUGACGGCCCAUGGGUUGUAAACUUCUUUUCUUGGAGAAGAAUUCUGACGGUAUCCAAGGAAUAAGCAUCGGCUAACUCCGUGCCAGCAGCCGCGGUAAGACGGGGGAUGCAAGCGUUAUUCGGAAUUAUUGGGCGUAAAGCGUCUGUAGGUGGUAAGGAAAGUGUAAUGUUAAAGAUCAGGGCUCAACCCUGGGAAAGCAUUGCAAACUAUCUUACUUGAGUUCGGUAGGGGCAGAGAGAAUUCCCGGUGUAGCGGUGAAAUGCGUAGAUAUCGGGAAGAACACCAGUGGCGAAGGCGCUCUGCUGGGCCAUAACUGACGCUCAUGGACGAAAGCCAGGGGAGCGAAAGGGAUUAGAUACCCCUGUAGUCCUGGCCGUAAACGAUGAACACUAGGUGUCGGGGCCCUCGGUGUCGUAGCCAACGCGUUAAGUGUUCCGCCUGGGGAGUACGCACGCAAGUGUGAAACUCAAAGGAAUUGACGGGGGCCCGCACAAGCGGUGGAGUAUGUGGUUUAAUUCGAUGCAACGCCGAAGAACCUUACCAGGGUUUGACAUCCUGCGAAUCUCUUGGAAACGAGAGAGUGCCUUCGGGAACGCAGUGACAGGUGGUGCAUGGCUGUCGUCAGCUCGUGUCGUGAGAUGUUGGGUUAAGUCCCGCAACGAGCGCAACCCACGUCUUUAGUUGCCAGCAUUUAGUUGGGCACUCUAGAGAGACUGCCGGUGAUAAACCGGAGGAAGGUGUGGAUGACGUCAAGUCAUCAUGCCCCUUACAUCCUGGGCUACACACGUACUACAAUGCUACGGACAAAGGGCUGCAAGUUCGCGAGGACAAGCAAAUCCCAUAAACCGUGGCUCAGUUCAGAUCGUAGGCUGCAACUCGCCUACGUGAAGGCGGAAUCGCUAGUAAUCGCAGGUCAGCAUACUGCGGUGAAUACGUUCCCGGGCCUUGUACACACCGCCCGUCACACCAUGGAAGUUGGCCACGCCCGAAGCCGUUACUCCAACCCUUGUGGAGGAGGACGUCGAAGGUG
rnacentral:rRNA from 1 species